UACGUAGGGUGCGAGCGUUGUUCGGAUUUAUUGGGCGUAAAGGGCGCGUAGGCGGGAUGGCAAGUCGGUCGUGAAAUCCUUCGGCUCAACCGAAGAACGUCGGCCGAUACUGCCGUUCUUGAGGGAUGCAGAGGAGAUUGGAAUUCCCGGUGUAGCGGUGAAAUGUGUAGAGAUCGGGAGGAACACCGGUGGCGAAGGCGGGUCUCUGGGCAUCUCCUGACGCUGAGGCGCGAAAGCGUGGGGAGCAAACGGG
rnacentral:rRNA from 1 species